rnacentral:lncRNA from 1 species
UGCCCUUACUGCAUUGCUCUAUCAGAGAUUUUGUGAGAUAUUCAGGGAGAGGAAAGGCCUGUGCAUGCUCCUGCCCUUGAAAGCUGCCCCAUCCUACUGUGAUGUCAUAAUUGGAGCUACAGCCAGAGAUGUGAACUCCAACAACCCCUGACCCAGGCCAGCCUCCCACACAUUUUCAUCACCUACUCAUACGCCAUGCCUGGGGCUUCUGCUUCCAUCCUACCAUCACGUGAGGCGGCUAGCAUCUGUGUGAGCUUUAUCUCAAAACAUCUCAUGUAUGUACUUGCUCCCUUGCUUUUACCUCUCCCCCUGGACCAUCAGCUCCAUAAGAAGGGGACUCUGUCUGCAUUGUUCAUGCAACAGACCCAGCACACCACAGCAUUUCAUUCGCAGGCCCUCGCUCACCAGGAGAUUAACCCGUCAGGCUGCUGCGUGAGAAGGGACAGAGCAGCUCCUUACAGGAGGCCCAUGACAGGGGGGAAAUCAAAACAAAUCCACCUGCUGAAAGAAGACGUUGAGGACGGCAGCCUCAGAGUGCGGUGA